rnacentral:rRNA from 1 species
GACGAACGCUGGCGGCGUGCCUAAUACAUGCAAGUAGAACGCUGAAGGAGGAGCUUGCUUCUCUGGAUGAGUUGCGAACGGGUGAGUAACGCGUAGGUAACCUGCCUGGUAGCGGGGGAUAACUAUUGGAAACGAUAGCUAAUACCGCAUAAUAGUAGAUGUUGCAUGACAUUUGCUUAAAAGGUGCAAUUGCAUCACUACCAGAUGGACCUGCGUUGUAUUAGCUAGUUGGUGAGGUAACGGCUCACCAAGGCAACGAUACAUAGCCGACCUGAGAGGGUGAUCGGCCACACUGGGACUGAGACACGGCCCAGACUCCUACGGGAGGCAGCAGUAGGGAAUCUUCGGCAAUGGGGGGAACCCUGACCGAGCAACGCCGCGUGAGUGAAGAAGGUUUUCGGAUCGUAAAGCUCUGUUGUAAGAGAAGAACGAG